rnacentral:lncRNA from 1 species
CGGUCCUUCAAAGCCAUGGAGGGAGGGAGACUGCAGACCAGCCAUUUGUACAAGAAACUUCUUUCCUUGAAUGCUUGACACAAUGCUGUCCAAACUCGACAGGCAGGUUACAAAGAAGAGUGACUGCUGAAGUUGCCAAUGGAAAGGGUGAUCCUUCAAGUUCCUUCUUCAUAAAAAAAUGUGCCAUAUGUCCUGGGCAUAUAGGCUGAAGAUGGAUGCCUUAAGAGUACAGAGUAAUCUUAGGACCCACUGUUUGUAGGGCUUCUGGGGAGGGAAUCUUAACCAUAUUGUGCCAGGAGAUGAGAGCCCUCUGGAAACAAAGUUCAAGCUUUGCCUCCACCACCACCCUGCCUCCAGUAGAAAGAAACUUCGAAGACUUCCCCAGGAGUGAGAUUUCCCACAAUGGGCUUCUGACUUCAAACUUUAACCAACCAAAUUCAGGACAGUACAAUAUGAUGACAGCAGAGUAGGAUGGAGACAAUUCAUCAAUUGAGUUUCACACUUCCUAAAUAUGACAAAGUUGUUUCAAGUUGA